AAUCGGGAGGUGGCGCCCUCGUGGCGUUUCGUGACUUGCUAUUAAACCAAAUUUCCAUGUAACUUGCGACAUGUGUAGAUUUUUCCGGAAGAUUCUUUUGCGUCAUUCGUUAUUAGAAGAAAGGUAUACAAAUUAUUUAUAAAUUACGAAUUACGAAGUGAUUAAAAAUAGGGUUAUGUCUAAGAGAGUUACAUUUAAAUAGAAUCGCGCGAAUAAUCUGACUAUAAUUAGAAUAAUUCAGUUAAAAAUAAUGCAAGCAACGUCGAUGUUAUUUACAACAUCCUGAAAAAUAUUAUUCCAUUUCUUGCGGAUGUUCGUACGUUGUUGUAAGAAUGUGUGUAGAGGAGGAUAAUCAGUGAACACACAUUCCAGACACCUUUAUUGUGGGAAACUAUCGUCGUCACGUACCGUGUCGGUCUAUGUUCCGAAACCUUAAAGACGUUCCUCAUCAGCAGCGAAAAAAGGAAGCCUUUGUCGAAAUAUCCUGUUUCUUGGUAAACACGCCGUGUUGCCGAACGUUUGUCGUGACCAAAUUAUAAAAUGGCGGGAAAAAUCAAAUGAUCAAUAUCAUUUUUAAUUGGAUACUCUGUUAUUUAAAUAAA